AAUAAUAUUCUAUUGUGUACUUUUACAUGAAUUAAACAUUGUUUGUCUAAAUAACUGCAUAAACUUUCACAGUCUCAUCAGUAAAUAUUUACUUAGUUGAGGAAAUUUGUCCAGGAAGGGACAUGAUGAAGACUGUAAAUACAAUAAAUAAAUCAGUAAAAUCAUAAAGAAGCUUUCAACAGAAUUUGUUGAAACAAUUGGUUGGGUUUCUGGUAAUGGAACUUUUGUUUCUCAGUAAAGUGUUUGUUAUCUGUGGUCUGCUAACCAGUAAACCUAAACUACGGGUCUGAGGCAGGCGCCUUGCAAGUUGUGAAAACAUUUCACAGGUUGAAAAGGAAGUUUGUCAUCCACUUCUCUGCUGCACAACUUUGCCUUUGGUAUUCAAGCUAAGAAGCAUGUGCUGAUAUGGCAGGUGACAAAAAGCGCCUGUUUUCUGUGGUCUGCUAACCAGUAAACCUAAACCACGGGUCUGAGGCAGGCACCUCAUGUUGAAAAGGAAGACUGCUCCCUGACCUACCUGAGUCUUGCAGGAAAUCAACUGAUGGACGGCAGAGUGGCCACCCUCGCCAGGUGUUGGCCUGUCUGUCUCUCCGUGGUGUAUGUGGACCUGUCAGAGAAACAGGCAGGGACCUCAGUGGGACUCCACAGCCUCCUCUCCACCCAGCUACCUUUGACCUAUCUGAACCUCCAUGCAACCUCCCAACAUUUGCUGAUGGACUGAAGAAAUGGUCAAGCUGAGAAAUGAUUAAAUCGCUUUGAUCUGUCAUGUUCCCCCUAGUCUCUUCCCACAGCCACUGUAUCUCUGACACAACACUGGGGGUGGAGCAUCAUGAGUCUUACCAGUGAAACAAUGUUCACACCCAACUGGUUGUGAGUUUAAAAUAAACACAGCUUCACACUUUG